rnacentral:rRNA from 1 species
AGUGAACGCUGGCGGUAGGCCUAACACAUGCAAGUCGAACGGCAGCACAGUAAGAGCUUGCUCUUACGGGUGGCGAGUGGCGGACGGGUGAGGAAUACAUCGGAAUCUACUUUUUCGUGGGGGAUAACGUAGGGAAACUUACGCUAAUACCGCAUACGGCCUACGGGUGAAAGCAGGGGAUCUUCGGACCUUGCGCGAUUGAAUGAGCCGAUGUCGGAUUAGCUAGUUGGCGGGGUAACGGCCCACCAAGGCGACGAUCCGUAGCUGGUCUGAGAGGAUGAUCAGCCACACUGGAACUGAGACACGGUCCAGACUCCUACGGGAGGCAGCAGUGGGGAAUAUUGGACAAUGGGCGCAAGCCUGAUCCAGCCAUACCGCGUGGGUGAAGAAGGCCUUCGGGUUGUAAAGCCCUUUUGUUGGGAAAGAAAAGCAGCAGGUUAAUACCCCGCUGUUCUGACGGUACCCAAAGAAUAAGCACCGGCUAACUUCGUG